rnacentral:rRNA from 1 species
GCUAAACCGAAAGUAUAAGAGGUCCCGCCUGCCCUGUGACUAUAUGUUUAACGGCCGCGGUAUUUUGACCGUGCGAAGGUAGCGCAAUCACUUGUCUUUUAAAUGGGGACCUGUAUGAAUGGCAUAACGAGGGCUUAACUGUCUCCUCUUUCAAGUCAAUGAAAUUGAUCUCCCCGUGCAGAAGCGAGGAUAGAUACAUAAGACGAGAAGACCCUAUGGAGCUUUAGACACUAAAGCAGAUCAGUAUUAAUACCCUGAACAUAGACUACGAAUAAACUGACCCCUGCCCUAAUGUCUUUGGUUGGGGCGACCGCGGAGAAAAAUAAAACCCCCGCAAGGACUAAAUGUACUACAUUCACAAACAAGAGCGACAGCUCUAACUAACAGAACUUCUGACCAAUAAGAUCCGGCAAUGCCGAUCAAUGAACCGAGUUACCCUAGGGAUAACAGCGCAAUCUCCUCUUAGAGCCCAUAUCGAC